rnacentral:rRNA from 1 species
CCUACGGGAGGCAGCAGUGGGGAAUAUUGCGCAAUGGGGGAAACCCUGAUGCAGCGACGCCGCGUGAGUGAAGAAGUAUUUCGGUAUGUAAAGCUCUAUCAGCAGGGAAGAAAAUGACGGUACCUGACUAAGAAGCCCCGGCUAACUACGUGCCAGCAGCCGCGGUAAU